UAGCAGCGGCAGUGGCAGCAGCGGGCGAGUUGGAACUUUGUUUACAGAGUCUACAACUGGCAGACGUGGGUUGAGAGUUCCUGUUUGAAACCCUUCCUCCCUGCAUCUUCUCUGUCUUCAGAGAGAACUGGACCUCCAGAGAGGCAGGAAUCCCCUAGCAGCACUGCCUGAGCUGGUGAUGGCAUGGCCUUUGAUGAAUGAGCUCAUACAAUAUCUCUUCACUUUCUCAUCUAAGGCGUCUUCUGGGGGUUGGAGUGGAGGUUUCCCUUCAAUGGCCCGGGGUCCUCAUCUCAGUCUUCCUGCGCAGGGAUCUAGGCAGUAUGGAUGGGACCGACCUCACAGAGGAGACUGCCUACCUCAGAUAGCAAUAGAGGAGAGUCGGUUUGGGCCCUGGAUGACAGAUCGUAACUGUCCUGAGUGGCUGGACAUCUUAGAGUGAACAGCAGACAGCACCGGCUUCAUGUGAGAGUCCUGCCUGGACAUUGAGGAUGGAUCCGAGAGAGAAGCGCAGAGCCUGACGGAUCAGACACCACCACCCCUUAGCGGCGACGAAACCGAGCGGUAAACGCGCUGGAUCGUGAGAAGCACUUGUCUAGCUAGGCCAAGGAGAGAGGCGCAGGGAGAGCGAGGUGAUCCAGACCAGACAGGGAACCCUGCGGGGCGUGGCGGGGCCGGGGGUGAAGCUUGCAGAGGUAGUUGCCCGUGAAGAGCAGCUUGUGCGCUGUUGGAUCCUUGGAGUGGAGUGGGAACUCCGAGGUGAAGCGCACCGUGUUCAGCCCGAUGCCGGUGAGCGGCCGUUGGAACGCGUGGCAGAGAAAGCUUGCGCGAGCCCAGGGCGCGAAGAAGUACAACAAAGGGCCAACGGGGAGGUCCAACGGUCCGACCCCAGCCGGACUCGAGCUCACUCGGUUGCAGGCGUUAGGCUCCCAGCGGCUCUCAGCCGUUAAGUGGAGAAUGUUCAGGACUGUCGAGGCGCGCUCCGCACCUGGCCUGAAAGCGGGAGAUUUGGCAACCAGUGCGCGUGGGUGCGCCGGCCCUUGCAGCUGGGGACUCUGGAGGCAGACCUUGCCCAAAGCCAGAGGCAGGAACUCCCCAGAUCCUCCCAGGGUAGGGAGCUGGCUCACAGGGAAGGUGCCUGGGGAGGGGCCGGGCGGUGCUGUCUCCUGACUCCGCCCAGGCAGCCCCGCCG
rnacentral:lncRNA from 1 species